GCACCUACCGAUUGAAUGGUUCGGUGAAAAUCUCGGACUGCGGCUUGGAUGCCUUCGGGCAACCAAGCUGUGGAAAGUUGUUUAAACCUCAUCAUUUAGAGGUAGGUGAAGUCGUAGCAAGGUUUCCGUAGGUGAACCUGCAGAAGGAUCAACAUCGGCUGAGCGUAGUGAAGGGAAAGAGUGUAGAUGUGGGGUUUCUCCGUAUUAUUAUUAUAACAACCUUGUAUUUGAUGUCACUGUUCCGUCGCUUUAGUGUUCUGUUAUUGCCUUUUUACGU
rnacentral:misc_RNA from 1 species